rnacentral:lncRNA from 1 species
CUUAAGAAUUUCAAGAAGAGGGGUAAUCCACUCUCUCCAAGAAGAAUAAGACUCCAAUAUUGUAACAGAAGAAGUAUCAGUUUAGAGGAGGGUAAUUCGCAACCUCUAAAAAAUGCUAGUAUACCUUCAAGUAGAGGGGUAAUCCACACUCUACUAAGAAAGAACUAGCUCUGAUAUCUCAAGUUAGUGUAGUCUCGACAAACUGUCACGGACACAAAAUACAGACUUGAAAUCUAACAAGAAGUUCAAGAAGAAGUGGCAAAAUUAGAUUAAAUAGAUGAGUACAAGAACGACACCAGAAAGGUGAGCUAGAACUCCAAGA